rnacentral:lncRNA from 1 species
AUGGUCUCGUCUCUCUUGACUACCCCAAGGCUGAAGGGAGCCCACCCGCACCGCAUCUUUGCCCACACCACUGCGCCCGGAUGGUCACGUAAGUGGUGGAUGGAUUGCGCAACUGCUGAUGGACCUGGAAGACAAAAAGGCAGAAAAACAACGCAAGAACCCCAGGACGCGCUCUCCGGCUGCGGUAGUUUGCAGCUUGCAGUGAGAGAAUGCAAGCCCCAAAUCAACUCUGCAUCCUGCUUGGGAGCAAGAGCACAACGAGGGAGGGACCCUUGGCCGCCUUGCUCUGGCAGCGUCCCGGUGGCGCCCUGCAGAAAAGCCAAGACCUUGGGCUCGGAAGCUCCGGACAUGUGCCUGGAGGAAGGAGGCUGUCAGAGAGAAAGUUGCAUUUUCUACGGUGUACUUCCUGUAGCGAAGCCUGCAGUCUUCCAGCCAGAUUGCCUGGGUCCGCUGCACAGACUCCCUUUUCUGCCCUAGAGUCCAGGGUUUGUGUGCAUGGUUACUGCCGUCCGCGUAUUCAUUUCUUAGCUCGCUGCUGCUAUCCGAGGUUACUGCUCGCAGGCAGAUUGAGAAAAGAGCCCGCUUAGCUGGCACUGAGCAGUUGUCUUGGGUCCCCCUCUCCCUUGUCGCGUGAGAGUAGCCCUCGAGUCCCGGCGGCUGCCGGAACCCUUCUGCUUCUAGUAUAGAGGUAGCCCAAUUGCGAUGAAUAUUUGCAUUCGCACCUCCUCCUCCUCCUCUUCCUCCUCCUCUUUCCCCCCUCCUGCCUGAGAAAGGAGGACGGACCCAAUUCCAGGCACGGGGCUGAUAUUUAUUUGCAAACUGUCUCUCAGUCGCCAGAUUUGCCAAUUAAAUCACCGACGCUUGGGAGGAGCCUUUCCACGAUUUUUUUUUUGGCACCUGUCUCCUGGAAUCUGCUUUUGAAGUGGAGGGUGGCAAGGGUAGUGGCGGGGUGCAGAAAAUGUAACUUUACUUUGCCAGGGGGAGGAAACUUUGUCACUCCGCAGGAGCUCGUAGGCAUGUGCAACCUGGUGGAAGAGCUCCACGCGGGGCAGCAUUUUCUUUGACUUUGUGCUUUGCUCCUGAUGACCCCCGAGGGAGAAAGAGGACACUUGGACUCCACGGUGGUUCCUCUUCGCCGCCACCUCUCGGGGUGACAGCAGCGGAGGCGAUACACUGGCCCCUUCCUCCUACUUCUCUGCCACCUUUUGAAGUCCCCAGAAAGGACGCACUUGCCCCCACGCCCUCGGAUUGAGGGAAAGCGAAGUCAGAAAAAGGUAUCUACGGAGCUAGCCCCCCACUGCAAGAGGAGCGGGCCGGGGGGCUUGGGGGGUGGCGGGGGAGAAGACUGCUUGCUGCUGGAUUCCAGGAACAAGUCACCCG